rnacentral:rRNA from 1 species
GACGAACGCUGGCGGCGUGCUUAGCACAUGCAAGUCGAACGGAAAGGCCCUGCUUUUGUGGGGUGCUCGAGUGGCGAACGGGUGAGUAACACGUGAGUAACCUGCCCUUGACUUUGGGAUAACUUCAGGAAACUGGGGCUAAUACCGGAUAGGAGCUCCUGCUGCAUGGUGGGGGUUGGAAAGUUUCGGCGGUUGGGGAUGGACUCGCGGCUUAUCAGCUUGUUGGUGGGGUAGUGGCUUACCAACGCUUUGACGGGUAGCCGGCCUGAGAGGGUGACCGGCCACAUUGGGACUGAGAUACGGCCCAGACUCCUACGGGAGGCAGCAGUGGGGAAUAUUGCACAAUGGGCGGAAGCCUGAUGCAGCAACGCCGCGUGCGGGAUGACGGCCUUCGGGUUGUAAACCGCUUUCGCCUGUGACGAAGCGUGAGUGACGGUAAUGGGUAAAGAAGCACCGGCUAACUACGUG